CCCAGUCUACUGGUGUAGUAACUUGAAAACAAGAAUCCAUAAUAACACUUAAUUGAAGAUUAAGAAAUGUUAUAAUUGGAAGAGAUAGCAGAUAUUCUUCAAGUUUACCGUGUCGGGAGCUCACGUUGAUGCUAAACUCUGCUCAAGUCACUAUGGAAGCUCUCUCUCCAUUACAUUUUGAGAUAAACUCCAAAGUCGUACCGGGGAGCUCGAUCUCCAACUUCACUUCGUUCACUCCACUAUAGGAGCUAUGUUUAGUCACCAACAUAUUUAAAUAUGUGAAUUUGAAUACCUGCGUGAUUAGAAAUACCAAUGUGGAUGUAAAUAUAAAACACGAUUUCAACUGAAUUGGAGAGAAAUGUUAAGUUGUACAAUUUUCUUGUCUUCUAACAUGAAGUCAUGGGAAAUUGAUCUACGUAGAUGAUUUUAAUCAGUUGAGAUUUAAAUUCCAAUUUAAGUAAAUUGAGGAGCUAAAUCUUUACUUUUAAAAUUUCAGAACCCAUAACCAACUUCCCAUUCUUAAAUUAGAAAA
rnacentral:lncRNA from 1 species